GAGUUUGAUCCUGGCUCAGAACGAACGCUGGCGGCAGGCUUAACACAUGCAAGUCGAGCGCCCCGCAAGGGGAGCGGCAGACGGGUGAGUAACGCGUGGGAACGUACCUUUUGCUACGGAAUAACUCAGGGAAACUUGUGCUAAUACCGUAUGUGCCCUUCGGGGGAAAGAUUUAUCGGCAAAGGAUCGGCCCGCGUUGGAUUAGCUAGUUGGUGAGGUAAAGGCUCACCAAGGCGACGAUCCAUAGCUGGUCUGAGAGGAUGAUCAGCCACACUGGGACUGAGACACGGCCCAGACUCCUACGGGAGGCAGCAGUGGGGAAUAUUGGACAAUGGGCGCAAGCCUGAUCCAGCCAUGCCGCGUGAGUGAUGAAGGCCCUAGGGUUGUAAAGCUCUUUCACCGGUGAAGAUAAUGACGGUAACCGGAGAAGAAGCCCCGGCUAACUUCGUGCCAGCAGCCGCGGUAAUACGAAGGGGGCUAGCGUUGUUCGGAUUUACUGGGCGUAAAGCGCACGUAGGGCGGACUUUUAAGUCAGGGGUGAAAUCCCGGGGCUCAACCCCGGAACUGCCUUUGAUACUGGGAGUCUUGAGUAUGGUAGAGGUGAGUGGAAUUCCGAGUGUAG
rnacentral:rRNA from 1 species